AGGAGCAACAGCCCCAGUGGCAGGGCCAGCUCUGGAAACCUGGAUUCAGCUCCAGCAGGAACUCCGGAGCUCUCCGUUUGCAGGGCCUGGAGGCUCCGGGGCGGG
rnacentral:pre_miRNA from 1 species